rnacentral:rRNA from 1 species
UUUCCUACGGGACGCAGCAGUGAGGAAUAUUGGUCAAUGGGAGAGAUCCUGAACCAGCCAAGCCGCGUGAGGGAAGACGGCCCUAUGGGUUGUAAACCUCUUUUGUCGGAGAACAAAACCCGGGACGUGUCCCGGACUGCGUGUAUCCGAAGAAAAAGCAUCGGCUAACUCCGUGCCAGCAGCCGCGGUAAUACGGAGGAUGCGAGCGUUAUCCGGAUUUACUGGGUGUAAAGGGCGUGUAGGCGGGGGCGCAAGUCAGAUGUGAAACCCACGGGCUCCACCUGUGGCCUGCAUUUGAAACUGUG